CAAAAUGUAGCUUAACUAAAGCAUCCCGCUUACACCGAGAAAAUGCCUGUGAAACCCAGCCCAUCUUGA
rnacentral:tRNA from 1 species